CACGAACCGUACGAACGUUAUUCGGAAUUACUGGGCUUAAAGGGUUUGUAGGCGGCCUUGUAAGUCAGGUGUGAAAGCCCUCGGCUCAACCGAGGAACGGCGCUUGAUACUGCAGGGCUUGAGGGAGACAGGGGUAAGCGGAACUGAUGGUGGAGCGGUGAAAUGCGUUGAUAUCAUCAGGAACACCGGUGGCGAAAGCGGCUUACUGGGUCGCUUCUGACGCUGAGGAACGAAAGCUAGGGUAGCGAACGGG
rnacentral:rRNA from 1 species